rnacentral:rRNA from 1 species
UGAGAGGCCGAAUGGCGUAUCCGAUGGACAACAGGUUGAUAUUCCUGUACUAGGUUAUAUAGUGAUUGGAGGGACGCAGUAGGCUAAGGUAAGCCAGUUAAUGGAUUCUGGUCUAAGCAGUGAGGUUUGGUAUGAGUCAAAUGCUUGUACCUAUAAGAUUGUGCUGUGAUGGGGAAGCACUUUCGAGUGCGAAGUACCUGAUGUCACACUGCCAAGAAAAUCUUCUAGCGUUUAAUUAUAACCUACCCGUACCGCAAACCGACACAGGUAGUCGAGGCGAGUAGCCUCAGGUGAGCGAGAGAACUCUCGUUAAGGAACUCGGCAAAAUGACCCCGUAACUUCGGGAGAAGGGGUGCUCUACAUUUGUAGAGCCGCAGUGAAUAGGCCCAAGCGACUGUUUAUCAAAAACACAGCUCUCUGCUAAAUCGUAAGAUGAUGUAUAGGGGGUGACGCCUGCCCGGUGCUGGAAGGUUAAGAGGAGUGCUUAGCGUAAGCGAAGGUAUGAAUUGAAGCCCCAGUAAACGGCGGCCGUAACAAUAACGGUCCUAAGGUAGCGAAAUUCCUUGUCGGGUAAGUUCCGACCCGCACGAAAGGCGUAACGAUUUGGGCACUGUCUCAACGAGAGACUCGGUGAAAUUUUAGUACCUGUGAAGAUGCAGGUUACCCGCGACAGGACGGAAAGACCCCAUGGAGCUUUACUGCAAGUUGAUAUUGAGUAUCUGUUGCACAUGUACAGGAUAGGUAGGAGCCAUUGAUCUGAGGACGCUAGUUUUCAGUGAGGCGAUGUUGGGAUACUACCCUUGUGUCAUGGCUACUCUAACCCGCAUGCCUAAUCGGCAUGGGAGACAGUGUCUGCUGGGCAGUUUGACUGGGGCGGUCGCCUCCUAAAGAGUAACGGAGGCGCUCAAAGUUUCCCUCAGCAUGGUUGGAAAUCAUGCGUAGAGUGUAAAGGUAUAAGGGAGAUUGACUGCGAGACUUACAAGUCGAGCAGGUACGAAAGUAGGACUUAGUGAUCCGGUGGUACCGCAUGGAAGGGCCAUCGCUCAACGGAUAAAAGCUACCCUGGGGAUAACAGGCUUAUCUCCCCCAAGAGUUCACAUCGACGGGGAGGUUUGGCACCUCGAUGUCGGCUCGUCGCAUCCUGGGGCUGUAGUCGGUCCCAAGGGUUGGGCUGUUCGCCCAUUAAAGCGGCACGCGAGCUGGGUUCAGAACGUCGUGAGACAGUUCGGUCCCUAUCCGUCGCGGGCGUAGGAAAUUUGAGAGGAUCUGCCCUUAGUACGAGAGGACCGGGGUGGACUUACCGCUGGUGUACCAGUUGUCUUGCCAAAGGCAUCGCUGGGUAGCUAUGUAGGGAACGGAUAAACGCUGAAAGCAUCUAAGUGUGAAACCAACCUCAAGAUGAGAUUUCCCAUUCUUUAUGAAUUAAGAGCCCUGAGAGAUGAUCAGGUAGAUAGGCUAGAAGUGGAAGGACAGUGAUGUUUGGAGCGGACUAGUACUAAUAGCUCGAGGACUUUACCG